rnacentral:rRNA from 1 species
UACAGAGGGUGCAAGCGUUGCUCGGAAUCAUUGGGCGUAAAGGGCAAGUAGGUGGUCUCAUUUGUCUAGGGUGAAAUCCUUGAGCUUAACUCAAGAAGUGCCCUAGAAACGGUGGGACUAGAGUUCUGGAGAGGGUCGUGGAAUUCCCGGUGUAGCGGUGAAAUGCGUAGAGAUCGGGAGGAACACCAGAGGCGAAGGCGGCGACCUGGACAGAUACUGACACUCAACUGCGAAAGCGUGGGGAGCAAACAGG